CUGGCGGCGUGCUUAACACAUGCAAGUCGAACGAGAACGGCUCUAGCUUGCUAGAGUGUCAGCUAAGUGGCGCACGGGUGAGUAAUGUAUAGUUGAUCUGCCCCUUGGAGAGGGAUAGCCACUGGAAACGGUGAUUAAUACCUCAUACUCCUAACAGUGUAAAGGCUGUUAGGGAAACGUCUUUUCGCCAAGGGAUGAGACUAUAUCGCAUCAGCUAGUUGGUAGGGUAACGGCCUACCAAGGCAAUGACGCGUAGCGGGUCUGAGAGGAUGAUCCGCCACACUGGUACUGAGACACGGACCAGACUCCUACGGGAGGCAGCAGUGAGGAAUAUUGCACAAUGGGGGAAACCCUGAUGCAGCAACGCCGCGUGGAGGAUGACGCAUUUCGGUGUGUAAACUCCUUUUAUCAGGGAAGAUAAUGACGGUACCUGAUGAAUAAGCACCGGCUAACUUCCGUGCCAGCAGCCGCGGUAAUACGGAGGGUGCAAGCGUUACUCGGAAUCACUGGGCGUAAAGCGCAUGCAGGCGGUUUAUUAAGUUGGAAGUGAAAUCCUAUGGCUCAACCAUAGAACUGCUUCCAAAACUGAUAAACUAGAGUCUGGGAGGGGAAGAUGGAAUUAGUAGUGUAGGGGUAAAAUCCGUAGAGAUUACUAGGAAUACCAAAAGCGAAGGUGAUCUUCUGGAACAGUACUGACGCUGAGAUGCGAAAGCGUGGGGAGCAAACAGGAUUAGAUACCCUGGUAGUCCACGCAGUAAACGAUGAAUGUUAGUCGUUGGGACUCUAGUAGUUUCAGUGAUGCAGUUAACACAUUAAACAUUCCGCCUGGGGAGUACGGUCGCAAGAUUAAAACUCAAAGGAAUAGACGGGGACCCGCACAAGUGGUGGAGCAUGUGGUUUAAUUCGAAGAUACGCGAAGAACCUUACCUAGCCUUGACAUACUACAGAAUUUGACAGAGAUGUUGAAGUGCCUUCGGGAGCUGUAAUACAGGUGCUGCACGGCUGUCGUCAGCUCGUGUCGUGAGAUGUUGGGUUAAGUCCCGCAACGAGCGCAACCCUCGUCCUUAGUUACUAACGGUUUGGCCGAGGACUCUAAGGA
rnacentral:rRNA from 1 species